AUACGGAGGGUCCAAGCGUUAUCCGGAAUCAUUGGGUUUAAAGGGUCCGCAGGUGGUCAAUUAAGUCAGAGGUGAAAGCCCAUCGCUCAACGAUGGAACUGCCUUUGAUACUGGUUGACUUGAGUUAUACGGAAGUAGAUAGAAUAAGUAGUGUAGCGGUGAAAUGCAUAGAUAUUACUUAGAAUACCGAUUGCGAAGGCAGUCUACUACGUAUAUACUGACGCUGAGGGACGAAAGCGUGGGGAGCGAACAGGAUUAGAUACCCUAGUAGUCC
rnacentral:rRNA from 1 species